rnacentral:rRNA from 1 species
GAUGAACGCUGGCGGCGUGCCUAAUACAUGCAAGUCGAGCGAAUGGAUUAAGAGCUUGCUCUUAUGAAGUUAGCGGCGGACGGGUGAGUAACACGUGGGUAACCUGCCCAUAAGACUGGGAUAACUCCGGGAAACCGGGGCUAAUACCGGAUAACAUUUUGAACCGCAUGGUUCGAAAUUGAAAGGCGGCUCCGGCUGUCACUUAUGGAUGGACCCGCGUCGCAUUAGCUAGUUGGUGAGGUAACGGCUCACCAAGGCAACGAUGCGUAGCCGACCUGAGAGGGUGAACGGCGACACUGGGACUGAGACACGGCCCAGACUCCUACGGGAGGCAGCAGUAGGGAAUCUUCCGCAAUGGACGAAAGUCUGACGGAGCAACGCCGCGUGAGUGAUGAAGGCUUUCGGGUCGUAAAACUCUGUUGUUAGGGAAGAACAAGUGCUAGUUGAAUAAGCUGGCACCUUGACGGUACCUAACCAGAAAGCCACGGCUAACUACGUGCCAGCAGCCGCAGUAA